CAGCCGCCGCGGUAAUACGGAGGGUGCAAGCGUUAUCCGGAAUCAUUGGGUUUAAAGGGUCCGUAGGCGGUCUUGUAAGUCAGUGGUGAAAGCCCAUCGCUCAACGGUGGAACGGCCAUUGAUACUGCAGGACUUGAAUUAUUGGGAAGUAACUAGAAUAUGUAGUGUAGCGGUGAAAUGCUUAGAGAUUACAUGGAAUACCAAUUGCGAAGGCAGGUUACUACCAAUUGAUUGACGCUGAUGGACGAAAGCGUGGGUAGCGAACAGGAUUAGAUACCCCAGUAGUCCCUGUCUCUUAUAC
rnacentral:rRNA from 1 species